GGACCAUAGCUCAGGAGACAGAGCCCGUGCUUUGGAUGCAGACGGUCCCAGGUUCAAUUCCUGGCAUUGCCA